rnacentral:rRNA from 1 species
AAGCGGCAACAGCUCAAAUUUGAAAGCUGGCCCUUUUAGGGUCCGCGUUGUAAUUUGUAGAGGAUGAUUCGGCGAGGGCUCCUGCCUAAGUCCCCUGGAACGGGGCGUCAUAGAGGGUGAGAAUCCCGUAUGCGGUAGGUUGCCUUAGCCAUGUGAAUCUCCUUCGACGAGUCGAGUUGUUUGGGAAUGCAGCUCUAAAUGGGAGGUAAAUUUCUUCUAAAGCUAAAUACCGGCCAGAGACCGAUAGCGCACAAGUAGAGUGAUCGAAAGAUGAAAAGCACUUUGGAAAGAGAGUUAAAAAGUACGUGAAAUUGUUGAAAGGGAAGCGCUUGCAACCAGACUUGUCCGCAGUUGCUCAGCCGGUCUCCUGACCGGCGUACUCUUCUGCGGCCAGGCCAGCAUCAGUUCGGGCGGUCGGAUAAAGGCCUCGGGAAUGUAGCUCCUCUCGGGGAGUGUUAUAGCCCGGGGUGGAAUGCGGCCAGCCUGGACUGAGGAACUCGCUUCGGCAAGGAUGCUGGCGUAAUGGUUGUAAGCGGCCCGUCUU